GUUUUCCAAAAAUUCAAAACCACAACCAAUGUAACCAACCAUGACACCGCUUGCACUAUUUCUGCUGAAAGAACCAAUCUGGAAGAUCCGCAAUGGCGCUGUCCAUUGCCUUCCAAUAGCAGCAGCAGUAGUAUCAGCAGGAAUUGGAUGAAUGAGCUGCCGAGGAAUGCGAGCUGGAGAAAAAUGACUAGUUCUUCCCAGAUACAGGGCGAGCUUAACAGCGGCCAUAUUUGCCAAAGUCGAAGAGAUUGGAAUUCUGCCAAAAAAUGAAAAUGCUACUAGAAACAUUCAAUGAAGGGCUGUGCGACUAUGUACAUGUUCGCCCAUUUCUUGAGUGGCGGCGACCCACUAUACGUUGAUCCAGACUGCCCAAAUCACACUGAUCUGAUGAUGUUAAGCUACUGAUUUAGACCGAUGAUCACGGUCCAUUUGAUUUCAGCCAAGUGGAUGGUUAAGAAAGUCCAAUCGAUAUUGCAUUGCUACUCAUCAUGCAAUGGGAAGUAAAUUUCAGUCUGGAAUAUGGAUGCAGGCAAAUCUCAAAUCAAAGGAUUAUAACUCAGGGAAGCUACUCUUACCACCAUAUGAAGGGGCAGACCAGUUUUGGGACAACUUUGUAGUAGUAUUACUAAAAGCAAAAGAGAGAGGGUGCUUCUAUCAAUGAGUGUGGGUGUUGAUAUCAAUUCCCUAAAAACUGGAGAUAGCAUAAAACCAAUUCUUCAACAAAGUUUUAUAUUAUUCAAAGGAAAAUGGAAAAGAAGGAUUUAUCCUGUGGUAAAGGCAUAGAUUCAUGUGAUAUUAGCAGCUGAAAUUUUUAUGGUAUUUACUCAAACCAGCAUAAAGCAAUCCAGACCCUCCAAAUCAUUGAUUGGAUUUCUUCCCUUGAAUUUGGAUCACACAGUUUUACUUUUAACGAUCCAUUUGAGAGCAACCAGUUGAAUGGUGAUUGUUGCAUGAUUAUGAGGGUAGUCUUUUGCAUAGUUGUAAAACCAGAAAAAAA